AAGGAUGACUACUAAACUGCUAAUUUAACCCUCCUGGACUAAUGCCCCAGGCACCCUU
rnacentral:tRNA from 1 species